rnacentral:rRNA from 1 species
GAUGAACGCUGGCGGCGUGCUUAACACAUGCAAGUCGAACGAUGAAGCUCAGCUCGCUGGGUGGAUUAGUGGCGAACGGGUGAGUAACACGUGAGUAACCUGCCCUUAACUCUGGGAUAAGCCUGGGAAACUAGGUCUAAUACCGGAUAGGAGCGCCUACCGCAUGGUGGGUGUUGGAAAGAUUUAUCGGUUUUGGAUGGACUCGCGGCCUAUCAGCUUGUUGGUGAGGUAAUGGCUCACCAAGGCGACGACGGGUAGCCGGCCUGAGAGGGUGACCGGCCACACUGGGACUGAGACACGGCCCAGACUCCUACGGGAGGCAGCAGUGGGGAAUAUUGCACAAUGGGCGAAAGCCUGAUGCAGCGACGCCGCGUGAGGGAUGACGGCCUUCGGGUUGUAAACCUCUUUCAGUAGGGAAGAAGCGAAAGUGACGGUACCUGCAGAAGAAGCACCGGCUAACUACGUG